rnacentral:rRNA from 1 species
GACAGAGGGUGCAAACGUUGUUCGGAAUCACUGGGCGUAAAGCGCGCGUAGGCGGAUUGUUAAGUCAGGGGUGAAAUCCUGGAGCUCAACUCCAGAACUGCCUUUGAUACUGGAGAGCUUGAGUCCGGAAGAGGUGAGUGGAACUCCGAGUGUAGAGGUGAAAUUCGUAGAUAUUGGGAAGAACACCGGUGGCGAAGGCGGCCCACUGGAUCGGUACUGACGCUGAGGUGCGAAAGCGUGGGGAGCAAACAGG